rnacentral:tRNA from 2 species
GCGCGCGUGGCGGAACUGGUAGACGCGCAUGGUUUAGGUCCAUGUAUCGCAAGAUGUGGGGGUUCGAUUCCCUCCGCGCGCACCA